UUGAGAGCCACUGAUCUGAGCAGCAUGA
rnacentral:piRNA from 1 species